rnacentral:lncRNA from 1 species
CACUGCACUUUCCCAAUCUACAGGAACACAUAUUCACAUUCCUACUGCCUAACACACUCUAAACAAACACUCCAUCACAUGGCCACUAUAUAGGACACUUUAUAGAAAUAUACAUUCAAAUGCCAACUGCAGUCACCUCACUUCAAAGAAACACAUAUUCACAUGCCCAUAGCUUUCCUUCACUCUUCAAAAAACCAUAGUCACAUGCCCACUAUAAUCACUGUACUCUAUAGAAGCACAUAUUCACAGACACUCCAUACUGCACUUUGCAGAAACACACAUUCACAGGCCACUGCUGUCUUGUAUUCUGCAGAUACACACAUUGCAAUGCCCAUGGCACCCUGAACUCUACAGAUAUACACAUUUAAAUGACCACUGACUUUCUGCACUCUACAGUGGCACACAUUCCCAUGCCCACUGCUAUCCUGCACUGCACACAAACACACAUUCACAUGUCCACUGCCUUUACCACACACUUCAGAGCCACACAUUAAUAUUUCCAAUGCCAUAAUAUACUCUACAGAAACAUAAAUUCUGAUGCCCACGGCUAUACUGCACUCAAAAGGAACACACAAACACAUGCCCCCUACCUAGUGCACUCUACAGAAACACACAUUCAAAUGCCUAUUUCCAGCACUGUACAAUACGGAAACACACAUUCACAUACUCAUAGAUGUUCUGCAAUCUACAGAAAAACACAUUCACAUUCCCAAUGCAUACCACAUUCUACAUAAACACACAUUUACAUGGCGACUGCGCUCCACUCCUGUCUUCUAAAGAAACACACAUACACAUGCCAAAUGCCAUGGCUGCACUUUACAGUAACACACAUUCGCAGGCACACUACUAUACUACACUCUACAGAAACACACAUACAUAUGCCAGCUACUAUCCUGCACUCAACAGAAAUACACAUUCACAUGCCCACAGCUGUCUUGAACUCUACAUAAACACACAUUACCAUGCCCACUACAUAAUACACUGUAUGCAAACACACCUUCACAUAACCACUGCAUACUGUACUCUACACACACUCACAUGCCCAGUGCAAUCUUGACCUUUAUAGAAACUCACAUUUACAUGUCCACUGGUAUCUUGCACUCUAAAGAAACACACAUUCAUAUUCCCCCUUCAUACUGUACUUUUUCAGAAAUACACAUUCACAUGCCCAUUGCAAUAAAUGCACCCAACAGAAACACAUAUUCAGAGCCCCACUACCAUCAAUGAAUUAUACAGAAAUACACCUUCACAGGCACACUGUACACUACACUGUAAUGAAAAAAAAUUCUAAAUUUCACUAUCAACCUGCACUCUACAGAAACACACAUUCAAAUCCCCACUUAUGUACUUUACUAUAUAGAAACACACUUGUUCCCGCCAACAACCAUCCUACACUCUAACGAAAUACACACUCUCAUGCCCACUGACAUAACUGCACUCUACAAAAAGAAAAAUUCACAUACCAACUCCUAUUCUAUACUCCAUAGAAACACACAUUCCCAUACGACUGCCAUCCUGUACUCUACAUAUUCACAUGCCCUCUUCCAUCCUCCUCUCUACAGAAACACACAUUCAUAUGCCCACUGUAUACUGCACUCUACAGAAACACACAUUCAAUUGCCUACUGCUACCCUGCAUUCUACAGAAACUCACAUUAAGAUGCCCACUGCCAUCACUGCCCUCUACAGAAACAGACAUUA